CCUGCUUGUUGCUGGUUCAUCUGUGUCGUCUCCCUGAGUUUCUCCCUCCAUGUCAUCAGGUUCCAGCUCCUCAUACAUCUCUUCUUUCUCCCUUCUACUUUGCUCCUGUUAACCAAGGCUGUUGAGCAGACAGGAGGGAUGAACACAAUGUGAGGCUGUCACACUUGUCUGCCAUCUGCAAAGAGCCUUGUCACCAUCUCUUUUCUUAGCCCUACAUCUGGAAAUGGCUGCUAGUAUCCACCAACAAGGUUGCAAAUCUACAACGGAGUUUGUGGAUGAAAUAAGCAGGAGAGCAGGAAGAUUGAGUUCUGGAUGUUUGUGUGUGCUCGGAAAGAUAGACGGAAAUGCUGCCAAGCUGAUGUCAGUGAUAGGACCUAAUCUAGCAGCUUUUGGCAGGGUGGGCUGCCAACCCU